UCCUCCGGGGAUGGUGGGGACACUGUUGGGACCGCCUCUGCUAAAGAGGAGGAAGGAAUGGGCAACGGUAGGUCAGCAUGCCCCGAAUUAUCUGGGCUACACGCGGGCUACAAUGGGUGGGACAAUGGGUAUCGACACCGAAAGGUGAAGGCAAUCUCCUAAACCCAUCCGUAGUUCGGAUUGUGGGCUGCAACUCGCCCACAUGAAGCUGGAAUCUGUAGUAAUCGUGUCUCAAAAUGGCACGGUGAAUAUGUCCCUGCUCCUU
rnacentral:rRNA from 1 species